AGCAGCCGCGGUAAUUCCAGCUCCAAUAGCGUAUAUUAAAGUUGUUGCAGUUAAAAAGCUCGUAGUUGAAUUUCGGGGUUAGUAGGUUGGUCGUGCCACUGGUACGUACUGGUCUCACUGACUCCUCCUUCCUGAUGAACUGUAAUGCCAUUAAUUUGGUGUUGCGGGGAAACUGGACUGUUACUUUGAAAAAAUUAGAGUGUUUAAAGCAAGCUAACGCUUGAAUACAUUAGCAUGGAAUAAUGAAAUAGGACGUUCGAUCCUAUUUUGUUGGUUUCUAGGAUUGACGUAAUGAUUAAUAGGGAUAGUUGGGGGCAUUAGUAUUCAAUUGUCAGAGGUGAAAAUUCUUGGGAUUUUAUUGAAGACUAACUACUGCGAAAGCAUUUGCCAAGGAUGUUUUCAUUAAUCAAGAACGAAAGUUAGGGAUCGAAGACGAUCAGAUACCGUCGUAGUCUUAACCAUAAACUAUGCCGACUAGGGAUCGGAUGAUGGUUAAUUUUUAUGUACUCAUUCGGCGCCU
rnacentral:rRNA from 1 species